rnacentral:rRNA from 1 species
CCUACGGGAGGCAGCAGUGGGGAAUAUUGCACAAUGGGGGAAACCCUGAUGCAGCGACGCCGCGUGAGUGAAGAAGGAUUUCGGAAUGUAAAGCUCUGUCAGCAGGGAAGAAAAUGACGGUACCUGACCAAGAAGCCCCGGCUAACUACGUGCCAGCAGCCGCGGUAAUACGUAUGGGGCAAGCGUUAUCCGGAUUUACUGGGUGUAAAGGGAGCGUAGACGGCAGGGCAAGUCUGGAGUGAAAGGCGGGGGCUCAACCCCCGGACUGCUUUUGAAACUGCCUGGCUUGAGUGCAGGAGAGGUAAGUGGAAUUCCUAGUGUAGCGGUGAAAUGCGUAGAUAUUAGGAGGAACACCAGUGGCGAAGGCGGCUUACUGGACUGUAACUGACGUUGAGGCUCGAAAGCGUGGGGAGCAAACAGGAUUAGAUACCCUAGUAGUC